rnacentral:misc_RNA from 1 species
GAUGAAGAACGUAGUGAAAUGCGAUAAGUAAUGUGAAUUGCAGAAUUCAGUGAAUCAUCGAAUCUUUGAACGCACCUUGCGCCCUUUGGCUAUUCCGAAGGGCAUGCCUGUUUGAGUAUCAUGAACACCUCAACUCUCAUGGUUUGCCAUGAUGAGCUUGGACUCUGGGGGUCUUGCUGGCCUAUGGUCAGCUCCUCUCAAAUAAAUCAGCUUGCCAGUGUUUGGUGGCAUCACAGGUGUGAUAACUAUCUACGCUUGUGGUUUUCCAUCAGGUAACCUUCAGUGAUGGAGGUUCGCUGGAGCUCAUAAAUGUCCCUCCUCAGCGAGGACAGCUUUUUGAACAUUUGAUCUCAAAUCAGGUAGGACUACCCGCUGAACUUAAGCAUAUCAAUAAGCGGAGGA